GACGGAGGAUGCAAGUGUUAUCCGGAAUCACUGGGCGUAAAGCGUCUGUAGGUGGUUUAAAAAGUCUACUGUUAAAAAUUGAAGCUUAACUUCAAAGAUGCCGUAGAAACUUUUAAACUUGAGGAUGGUAGGGGUAGAGGGUAAUUUCCAGUGGAGCGGUGAAAUGUGUAGAUAUUGGAAAGACCACCGAUGGCGAAGGCACUCUACUGGGCCAUGACUGACACUGAGAGACGAAAGCUAGGGGAGCGAAUGGG
rnacentral:rRNA from 1 species